rnacentral:misc_RNA from 1 species
GGAGAACUCACGAGCUUUGCUUACAAUUUCAGCUCAAACCGAUGAAGUAAUUCCAAAUUUCUUCAAACGAAAAAACCUGCAAGGAUUGCAAAAAUCGUCGCUACCGAAUCGCCACCGGAAAUCAGAGAAGAAGCAGCUGAAAAAAAUGAGUAACGAUGCUAAGAGAAGCAUUCAAGGGAAUCUAAUGGUGAAAUCUCUGUCGGAAGAUCGGAAACCACCGGCUGCGGCGACUACCGGAAAGAAAAUCGUUAUCAAGAGUGCCGAUAUGUUUGGUGAUGUGC